GCCCGGGAGGCUCCUGCGG
rnacentral:snRNA from 1 species